UAGGGAAUCUUCAGCAAUGGACGAAAGUCUGACCGAGCAACGCCGCGUGAGUGAAGAAGGUUUUCGGAUCGUAAAACUCUGUUGGUAGAGAAGAACGUUGGUGAGAGUGGAAAGCUCAUCAAGUGACGGUAACUACCCAGAAAGGGACGGCUAACUACGUGCCUG
rnacentral:rRNA from 1 species